UACGGGGGGAGCAAGCGUUGUUCGGAUUUACUGGGCGUAAAGAGCUCGUAGGCGGCUUGUCACGUCGGGUGUGAAAGCCCGGGGCUUAACCCCGGGUCUGCAUUCGAUACGGGCUAGCUAGAGUGUGGUAGGGGAGAUCGGAAUUCCUGGUGUAGCGGUGAAAUGCGCAGAUAUCGGGAGGAACACCAAUGGCGAAGGCAGCUUGCUGGGACGGUACUGACGCUGAGGCGCGAAAGCGUGGGGAGCAAACAGG
rnacentral:rRNA from 1 species